ACGGAAAUAAAGCACGUUGUAUUAAAGGCUGUAAGCUUGUUAUACAUUCAUGUCCUUUAUAUCCACCUUUUCAUGUGGAUUCAUAGUUUCAUUUUUAUUUAGGAGGUACAUGACAUGCAAACAGGUAAAGUUAAAUGGUUUAACGGCGAAAAAGGUUUUGGCUUCAUCGAAGUUGAAGGCGGAGAAGACGUAUUCGUACAUUUCUCAGCUAUCCAAGGCGACGGCUUCAAAACUUUAGAAGAAGGUCAAGAAGUUUCUUUCGAAAUCGUUGAAGGAAACCGCGGACCACAAGCAGCUAACGUUACAAAAAACUAAUUAGCUAGCGAUAAAAAGCAUUCCGAUUUUCGGAAUGCUUUUUUU
rnacentral:sRNA from 1 species